rnacentral:miRNA from 1 species
GCUGAGUCUAAGAGAAAAGCAC